CGAAAUGUUAAAGUGUAACACAGAAAUGAACUAUGAUAUAACAAUGGCCAUAUUCCUGACAAAAACCCUAUUUAAGCAAUUGUAUCACUGAGGCAAUAAUAUUAAUUAAACCAAUUCCAUUGCACCAGAUGCUCAUUGCGUCAACUACUGUUUCUUCAGAGAUGCACAAGUAAAUACAUAUCUAAAACCCAAACAUGUAAUAAAAGGAUUGGAAGAUAAGGAAACCGAAAUAAAAAGAAAAAAAAAAACAAUUUAUAUUUAUGGGUAAGACGUCUGUUAUCAGUUUCUCUAUGAUUUACCCGAUCUAGACGAAAAUAGUUGUACAUUUUCUCUUUUUAAGAAAGAUUGUUUUUGAAAAUGAUAAAGUUUAAUUAAUGAAUAAAUAGUAUUUCAGCAAUAUUGCUUGACUUUGCCAAACCUGCUAUUGUAACACACA
rnacentral:lncRNA from 1 species